rnacentral:lncRNA from 1 species
GGAGAGGUAAGAAAGAGCCAUUUCCUGUCUAGAACUUUAAAAUUGAUUUACAUUUACCAUUUUAAAAUGAAUGCAUACAAUUUGUUAGAGAUGUUUUAUUGGAAAGCCAAGUUAAUUCAAGACAGAAUUAUUUAUUAAGUCUUUAUUAUUUGCCAGGCACUAUGCUAAGAAAUAAGGAUACAAAGCAAAAAAUAAUCCCUGUACUCAAGAAGCUCAUAUUCUAAGGGGUAGACAAUAUGCACACAUGUCAAAAUAAGAUUAUAUAGGAGAAAAUGGAGAAAUUUCAGUGGGAAGCCACUAGCAUAGGGGAGAUUAGGGAAGGAUUCUGGGAAGCAAGUAAAACAGGUGACCUCUGAGCCCUCUUCCAUUAUGAAGAUUUUUGUGACCUGGGGGAGAUCCCCUUAACUGUCUGAUUUUGGUUUCCAUGAGAUUAUAGUAGAUGAAUUAAAACAUCCCUUCUAUCUCUAAAUGCUAUUAUUCAGUAAAUAAUGAAGCGUUCAUGCAAAUAAAUUCUUAGGAGGAUGACUCUUUUGAAGAAAGUAUGCUUCUGUGUAAUUUCUGCAGUUAAAAAAUUUAUCUCAUUCUCUAAUUGUGGAAAUUUAAAAUUAUUCUGGGCUGACCACAGUACAUAUAAAGCCAAGAGUUGAAAUGAAUUCCAUCUGGUUUGCUUGGAAAACUUUGCCUAUUUUAUUUUAAGGAAUUACAAUUAAGCAAUAGUUCUGUUCAAUAAGAUCUGUAUUUUGUUUCCCAAAAUAGACAUCGAAGAUUUAUGUUAAUAGAAAAUAUGACUUCCUGACCUGAGAAUGAACAAGGAAUAUCACUUAGAAAGUCCAAGGUUUGCUAUAUUGUUUCCUGUGAAGAAUCCUCUGAAGCAAACUUGUAGUUACACUAAGGAAAAGAUUCACAGCAGGUCCACCUUUCUUUCCUUGGUAUACUAUUGGAUCCAAUGAAACUGGCCUCCUUGCUAUUUCUCAUACGAAUGUAAAUGGAAGUCAAUUCUAGUAGGCCAGGAUGAUUCCACAGAUAUGACAAAUUAGAGAAGAAAUUGGAGUGUGACAUUUUAAAAAUCAAAGGUUCUUCAUAUUUAGCCCUAAAUAACACAUCUUAAAAAACUGAAACAUAUGGAUCUUCAACAAAAGAAAGUCAUUUGUUCCAAUCCUUCAAAAUAAAUCAGAGGUGAGAAGAGCCUUCA